GACGAACGCUGGCGGCGUGCUUAACACAUGCAAGUCGAACGGAAAGGCCCUGCUUUUGUGGGGUGCUCGAGUGGCGAACGGGUGAGUAACACGUGAGUAACCUGCCCUUGACUUUGGGAUAACUUCAGGAAACUGGGGCUAAUACCGGAUAGGAGCUCCUGCUGCAUGGUGGGGGUUGGAAAGUUUCGGCGGUUGGGGAUGGACUCGCGGCUUAUCAGCUUGUUGGUGGGGUAGUGGCUUACCAAGGCUUUGACGGGUAGCCGGCCUGAGAGGGUGACCGGCCACAUUGGGACUGAGAUCCGGCCCAGACUCCUACGGGAGCCAGCAGUGGGGAAUAUUGCACAAUGGGCGGAAGCCUGAUGCAGCACCGCCGCGUGCGGGAUGACGGCCUUCGGUUUGUAAACCGCUUUCGCCUGUGACGAAGCGUGAGUGACGGUAAUGGGUAAAGAAGCACCGGCUAACUAC
rnacentral:rRNA from 1 species